rnacentral:rRNA from 1 species
UAAUAGUGUAUAUUAAAGUUGUUGCAGUUAAAAAGCUCGUAGUUGAAUGUUGGUGUCGAACGAGCGGUCAGCUUCGGCUGUACUGCUCUCUCGACUCCUUCCUUCUGUGGACUACGUCGCACUUUACUGUGUGGCGCUAGGACGCAGAUCGUUUACUGUGAAAAAAUUAGAGUGUUCAAAGCAGGCCGUACGCUUGAAUACAUUAGCAUGGAAUAAUGGAAUAGGACGUCGGGCCUAUUUUGUUGGUUCUAGGACCGUCGUAAUGAUUAAUAGGGACAGUUGGGGCCGUUUAUAUUCCGUAGUCAGAGGUGAAAUUCGUGGAUUUACGGAAGAUAAACUACUGCGAAAGCAUUCGGCAAGGAUGUUUUCGUUAA